rnacentral:lncRNA from 1 species
UCCACGCCCCCCCCCCCCCCCCCCCGUCAAGCCUUUGGCAUCAUUAUCCUCAUCACUAAAUCCUACAGAGUACAGGGCGGAAAACGGUGCACAC